GACGAACGCUGGCGGCGUGCUUAACACAUGCAAGUCGAACGGAAAGGCCCUGCUUGCAGGGUGCUCGAGUGGCGAACGGGUGAGUAACACGUGGGUGAUCUGCCUCUUAUUUUGGGAUAAGCCUGGGAAACUGGGUCUAAUACUGGAUAGGACCAUGCUGUAGGUGGUGUGGUGGAAAGAUUAGUUUCGGUAAGGGAUGAGCUCGCGGCCUAUCAGCUUGUUGGUGGGGUAAUGGCCUACCAAGGCGUCGACGGGUAGCCGGCCUGAGAGGGUGGACGGCCACAUUGGGACUGAGAUACGGCCCAGACUCCUACGGGAGGCAGCAGUGGGGAAUAUUGCACAAUGGGCGCAAGCCUGAUGCAGCGACGCCGCGUGGGGGAUGACGGCCUUCGGGUUGUAAACUCCUUUCAGCCAUGACGAAGCCCUUGUGGUGACGGUAGUGGUAGAAGAAGCACCGGCUAACUACGUG
rnacentral:rRNA from 1 species